ensembl:lncRNA
UUUUUUUAAUGGCAUCAAGUCAGUCAGAGUUUGAAACUGGUUCAGUUGAGCUGAUGCAGCACUUAAGAUGGCGUUUUGAAUAAGAGGAAGUGAAAAGGACGUGUUUUUAAAAAAAAAAUCACAAGACAGCUGUCGUAGUGCGCUCAGUGCGAUUCUGUCAGUUCUCGCUUGCUGUUACUCAUUCUCGUGUGUGUGUGUGUGUGUGUGUGUGUGUGUGUGUGUGUGGUCCUGCUGCUGCUAUACUAAUGCUAACGUUCUUGCUGAAGCAAAUGCUAAUGCUGCUCUCCAUUGUCUCGCUGUUCACGUGUACUUCAUUUUUACAUGUUUCUCUCUUUUAAUGUUUAAUCUGCAUUUCUUUCUUCUCACGCGUAUUACCGUUACAUCCACAGUUUAAAACCUCCGAGUGUUGAUUAUAAUUUUGACGUUUGUUGCAUGUUUCUCCGAGCAGAUUUGGUGCCUAAAAGUUGUGGUAAAGCAGAAAUAGGAACCUUUUUCACUUUGCACUCCGAACCCCCGAACAACCCCCCCACCCCCCCACCCAACCCCCCAAAAAGAUCCCUCCCCGCCUUCGUUGUGCCUCACUUCCUACGGUGCUUUUUUCACAAGUCCGACUUUGUUUAUUCGUACUGUGCUGUAUAAAUAUAUAACUUGAAAAUAUUAUGCACAUAUCCUACCCAAUGGGUAGAUGGAGAGAGAGAAAAAAAAAACCACAAGAGAACAAAUGUUAAUACUGUAAUAUAAUGUAUAGAAGAUAUUACGAUGAGAAAUUUAACAUGUUGGCAUCUGGGUUUUUUGUGAAUGCCCUACAAUUGUGCUUUUUGUCUUUUGUAAUAAAAAAAACAAAAAAUAAAAAAACAAUAAAACAACAACAAAAAACCAAAACAAAAAAGAGGUAAUGAAAUAAUACUACAGUAUAGUCAAAACAUAAGUUACAAAAAGUACUUCUUAUAUUUUUUUCCUAUAUCUGCUAUGUGAUGAUUAUGAGGCGGUCGCAUACAGGACAAAACUCGCUGCUGCUUUUAUAACUUCCAGAGAAAUUAUCAUUAUUAAUGCCAGCGCUUGCCAUUUAUUUAUUUGACUUUUUUUUUUAUUAUUAUUAAUAUUUAGUGAGUGAUAGAUGUUUGGACUUUAAAAUAACACAGAACAGAAGACCCGU